GACGAACGCUGGCGGCGCGCCUAACACAUGCAAGUCGAACGAGCGAGAGAGAGCUUGCUUUCUCGAGCGAGUGGCGAACGGGUGAGUAACACGUGAGGAACCUGCCUCAAAGAGGGGGACAACAGUUGGAAACGACUGCUAAUACCGCAUAAGCCCACGGGUCGGCAUCGACCAGAGGGAAAAGGAGCAAUCCGCUUUGAGAUGGCCUCGCGUCCGAUUAGCUAGUUGGUGAGGUAAUGGCCCACCAAGGCGACGAUCGGUAGCCGGACUGAGAGGUUGAACGGCCACAUUGGGACUGAGACACGGCCCAGACUCCUACGGGAGGCAGCAGUGGGGAAUAUUGCACAAUGGGGGAAACCCUGAUGCAGCGACGCCGCGUGGAGGAAGAAGGUCUUCGGAUUGUAAACUCCUGUUGUUGGGGAAGAUAAUGACGGUACCCAACAAGGAAGUGACGGCUAACUACGUG
rnacentral:rRNA from 1 species